rnacentral:rRNA from 1 species
AUUGAACGCUGGCGGCAUGCCUUACACAUGCAAGUCGAACGGUAACAGGUCUUCGGAUGCUGACGAGUGGCGAACGGGUGAGUAAUACAUCGGAACGUGCCUAGUAGUGGGGGAUAACUACUCGAAAGAGUGGUUAAUACCGCAUGAGAUCUACGGAUGAGAGCAGGGGAUCGCAAGACCUUGUGCUACUAGAGCGGCCGAUGGCAGAUUAGGUAGUUGGUGGGAUAAAAGCUUACCAAGCCGACGAUCUGUAGCUGGUCUGAGAGGACGAUCAGCCACACUGGGACUGAGAACCGGCCCAGACUCCUACGGGAGGCAGCAGUGGGGAAUUUUGGACAAUGGGCGCAAGCCUGAUCCAGCAAUGCCGCGUGCAGGAUGAAGGCCUUCGGGUUGUAAACUGCUUUUGUACGGAACGAAAAGCCCCGGGUUAAUACCCUGGGGCCAUGACGGUACCGUAAGAAUAAGCACCGGCUAACUACGUGCCAGCCGCCGCAGUAA